rnacentral:rRNA from 1 species
GAUGAACGCUGGCGGCGUGCCUAAUACAUGCAAGUCGAACGCAUAGCGAAAGGUGCUUGCACCUUUCACGUGAGUGGCGAACGGGUGAGUAACACGUGGACAACCUGCCUCAAGGCUGGGGAUAACAUUUGGAAACAGAUGCUAAUACCGAAUAAAACUUAGUGUCGCAUGACACAAAGUUAAAAGGCGCUUCGGCGUCACCUAGAGAUGGAUCCGCGGUGCAUUAGUUAGUUGGUGGGGUAAAGGCCCACCAAGACAAUGAUGCAUAGCCGAGUUGAGAGACUGAUCGGCCACAUUGGGACUGAGACACGGCCCAAACUCCUACGGGAGGCUGCAGUAGGGAAUCUUCCACAAUGGGCGAAAGCCUGAUGGAGCAACGCCGCGUGUGUGAUGAAGGCUUUCGGGUCGUAAAGCACUGUUGUAUGGGAAGAACAGCUAGAAUAGGAAAUGAUUUUAGUUUGACGGUACCAUACCAGAAAGGGACGGCUAAAUACGUG